UGUGAUUUCGUCACGAGGUUCUUAUGAU
rnacentral:sRNA from 1 species